rnacentral:rRNA from 1 species
GUGAGCUCGAUGAGUAGGGCGGGACACGUGGUAUCCUGUCUGAAUAUGGGGGGACCAUCCUCCAAGGCUAAAUACUCCUGACUGACCGAUAGUGAACCAGUACCGUGAGGGAAAGGCGAAAAGAACCCCGGCGAGGGGAGUGAAAAAGAACCUGAAACCGUGUACGUACAAGCAGUGGGAGCACGCUUAGGCGUGUGACUGCGUACCUUUUGUAUAAUGGGUCAGCGACUUAUAUUCUGUAGCAAGGUUAACCGAAUAGGGGAGCCGAAGGGAAACCGAGUCUUAACUGGGCGUUAAGUUGCAGGGUAUAGACCCGAAACCCGGUGAUCUAGCCAUGGGCAGGUUGAAGGUUGGGUAACACUAACUGGAGGACCGAACCGACUAAUGUUGAAAAAUUAGCGGAUGACUUGUGGCUGGGGGUGAAAGGCCAAUCAAACCGGGAGAUAGCUGGUUCUCCCCGAAAGCUAUUUAGGUAGCGCCUCGUGAAUUCAUCUCCGGGGGUAGAGCACUGUUUCGGCAAGGGGGUCAUCCCGACUUACCAACCCGAUGCAAACUGCGAAUACCGGAGAAUGUUAUCACGGGAGACACACGGCGGGUGCUAACGUCCGUCGUGAAGAGGGAAACAACCCAGACCGCCAGCUAAGGUCCCAAAGUCAUGGUUAAGUGGGAAACGAUGUGGGAAGGCCCAGACAGCCAGGAUGUUGGCUUAGAAGCAGCCAUCAUUUAAAGAAAGCGUAAUAGCUCACUGGUCGAGUCGGCCUGCGCGGAAGAUGUAACGGGGCUAAACCAUGCACCGAAGCUGCGGCAGCGACGCUUA